AAUGACUGGAUCCAGUAUUUCAAAAGUGCUGACGUCCCCAUUCUCAGCCCUCCUGCCCCUGUCUAUGACAUCAUUUACACUCCAACACAGAAACAGGCUCCAGAGUUUGACAGGUGGAGCGGCAGCAGCCAUGGAGCUACCGACCCACUAAGGCAGUCCCAGGACAAACGCAGAUCCCAUGAGCUCCAGCUGCCCAGUGCCGAUGACAACCCUAUUUCCCCUGGUUAUGCUGAGCCUCACUGUUUCAUUUCCAGCAGGCCUAACUCUUCAGACACACAGUACUCAGCUCACCUGGGCAGCAGGAGCAGCAGCUUCUCCUCUCGUGUCCG